rnacentral:rRNA from 1 species
CGAGCGAACAGACGAGGAGCUUGCUCCUCUGACGUUAGCGGCGGACGGGUGAGUAACACGUGGAUAACCUACCUAUAAGACUGGGAUAACUUCGGGAAACCGGAGCUAAUACCGGAUAAUAUAUUGAACCGCAUGGUUCAAUAGUGAAAGACGGUUUUGCUGUCACUUAUAGAUGGAUCCGCGCCGCAUUAGCUAGUUGGUAAGGUAACGGCUUACUAAGGCAACGAUGCGUAGCCGACCUGAGAGGGUGAUCGGCCACACUGGAACUGAGACACGGUCCAGACUCCUACGGGAGGCAGCAGUAGGGAAUCUUCCGCAAUGGGCGAAAGCUUGACGGAGCAACGCCGCGUGAGUGAUGAAGGUCUUCGGAUCGUAAAACUCUGUUAUUAGGGAAGAACAAAUGUGUAAGUAACUAUGCACGUCUUGACGGUACCUAAUCAGAAAGCCACGGCUAACUACGUGCCAGCAGCCGCGGUAAUACGUAGGUGGCAAGCGUUAUCCGGAAUUAUUGGGCGUAAAGCGCGCGUAGGCGGUUUUUUAAGUCUGAUGUGAAAGCCCACGGCUCAACCGUGGAGGGUCAUUGGAAACUGGAAGACUUGAGUGCAGAAGAGGAAAGUGGAAUUCCAUGUGUAGCGGUGAAAUGCGCAGAGAUAUGGAGGAACACCAGUGGCGAAGGCGACUUUCUGGUCUGUAACUGACGCUGAUGUGCGAAAGCGUGGGGAUCAAACA